rnacentral:lncRNA from 1 species
CUCGUUCUUAAGUUGAAGGUACCCUCUCUUCUUGUUUGUCAGUUGAAUGUUUGAAACCUUUACUAAACACUACAAAAAAAGUAAAAUAUUACGACGGUUUAUUUCCGGCGGUCUAUAAAAACUGCCACAAAUAUCACGUAUAUACGGCUGUUUUCUAUCCGUCGUAUUACAUGUUUGUAAACGGGCGGUUUUGAUGAAUAUUACAGGCGGCUUAAACUGCCAUUUUAUUUUGAGUUUUGAUACUUUAUAUUUGAAACCCUAUUCUCUGCUUCCUGCCUUUUCCCUUUCUCGCGCAAAUUAGGAGUCCACCAAAUCUCGUGCAAAUCGUCGGUGCCAUUUCACGAAAUCACGAAAUCAGUUGAAGGUACCCUCUCUUCUUGUUUGUCAGUUGAAUGUUUGAAACCUUUACUAAACACUACAAAAAAAGUAAAAUAUUACGACGGUUUAUUUCCGGCGGUCUAUAAAAACUGCCACAAAUAUCACGUAUAUACGGCUGUUUUCUAUCCGUCGUAUUACAUGUUUGUAAACGGGCGGUUUUGAUGAAUAUUACAGGCGGCUUAAACUGCCAUUUUCUUUUGAGUUUUAAUACUUUAUAUUUGAAACCCUAUUCUCUGCGUCCUGCCUUUUUCCUUUCUCGCGCAAAUUAGGAGUCAACCAAAUCUCGCGCAAAUCGUCAGUGCCAUUUCACGAAAUUGUCGGUGCUAUGAAGCUCGCAGGUUCAGUCAUGUCUCUCAAUUUCCUCUUUUAUUUGCUUAUGUAAGUAUGGAUCUUCGAUUUCUUUGUGGUUUUGUACUGCUUCGUCACUUAGUUGUUAGAUCUAUUUUAGUUUUCUUUUAGAUUUAUGAAUCCAGUGUUGUAAUGAGUAGACCUGUGUGUUAUUGAAAUUUGCUAGAAAUCCUUUAGGGAUGCGAAAGAAUUGUGCAGUAGCGAUUACUAGUUUAGGUUUGAGGCUUAAUUGAUGGAUUAAAUCAUGAGUUUGGUGUAUGAGCUUGUAUUCCAUGGCCAUUACUAUAUAUUCUUAUGCAAGCUAUGGACUAAUUUGAGGAAUUGAAUUUUGCUUGGGUUAAUUGAAGUUAUCAAAUUUUAUAAAAAAUUAUAGUACGAUAAUUGUAGAAUUUCUCGGAUAGAGUUUAAAGAUGAUGAAUUUGUCAAAUAUUAACAAAUCCUCAUUGAUUCCAACACAUGGAGUAGUACUUUUUUUAUAUGGACAUUUUACAAUUGCUAAAUGUAGCUAUGUAUAUCUUUUUUUUGAAGUAUUCUAGUGAUAUGUAACUGAAUCAUUUCAAUUCUCUUUUUAACAAGAUAUUCAUCUUUGUCUAUUGUCUUUUCUUUACCUUUUUUCUGCAGAAAAAUCCAACCUUUUGAAAAAAUAUAUCAGUAUCUUUUGUUCCCUACUUGCCUUUCAAGUAAUUUGGUAGAAAAUAUUUAUGCCAUGGUGCAUCACUCAUGUUUUUAGUUUCAUCUCGGUUUUGAAGUAUUUUUGAGUUUUAAGUUUGGAGAACUAUCGAAAAACAUCCUAUUAUGAUUCAUUUAUAGAUAGGAUGUGUAUAUCUAUAUUUAAAAUUGUCUUUAAGGAGAAGUGGAGCACAAAAUUGAUGUCCUACUUGCUAAGUUGAACUUGGAAAUAUAAGGUGCGUAGCCUUGGAGAAUGUAGUAGUCACUGAAUUUCCCUGUAGACAUCAAAAUCUUGGCUGUCACAAAAUAUUAUCUUACUAUCGAAAGCUCAAACACAAAAGCCAUUGCAAAUUUAGGCCUUACCGUUGUUCUUAUGUUGGAUCAUAUUGCUUGAUAAAAGGGAACAUUCAAACACUUAUAUUGCAUCUCAAGGAGUAUCACAAAGUGAUAUGCAUAUAGGAUGGUCAUUUCUUUUUAAUGAAAUCCAUUUUCACUAAACUGAAAAGGAGAAACUUAACUAUUUAUUUGGCAAGAGUGGCACUACCUGCAGAAAAGCAAGCUAGAUAAAAUUCAUUUAUAGUUCACUAAUGAUGGAUAGGUUUUACCACUCCAAAUAAUGCAACGGGUAUUUAAGUGUAGCACAGCCUCGAAAUGAUGCUAUGAGGCCAUCAAUGCUAGUGUGAAUACCGAUUCAUUGACAAAUAUAGUGGAGUCAGAGUGUAUUUACAAAUUGGAGAUACUGAUUUCUCCUCUCUCUGAUCCCUUUCCGCUUGUUAAGAGUUAGUCAGCCAUAACCUGACACUUCCUCAAUGUGCUAAUUAUUUUGCAGCAGCUAUGCUUUAGCAUAGAGGACUCCUACAAAUAACUCAACAGUAGACCAUCAAACAGCUGAUUUAGAACACAUGUUAAAGAGAUCAAGACCUUUGGGUGUAUCAGAUGAAGUAUGAUAUGGGAGAGGAUUGCUAACAGAUGUUUCAAGAUUUGGGAUCUCGGGUAAUGUUCAGUGGCUUUAUAGGUAUAUGUGGAACCUGUUGAUUGCAUUGACAAUCGUUUAUCAUGUAUGGAUGAAUGUUUUUGUAGUCUCAGCUUAAUAGACUUAUUGCUGAAGGUGCUCGUCGUGCAAGAGAAAUAAUAUGUGCCACCUCUUUCAGGCUUAUGGAAAAUACCAACUAGUUUUAUUCUUGAGGUAUGUUUCUCUAUUGCAAACUGACUAACAUCUUGAUCACUUUUGACUAAAGUAUUGAAACAUGUUAAUUGCAUACUCGUACCCCCUUUAAAACGUUGUGUCAAAAUCAGUCCGAGGAUAUAUUUAAAGGAGUUGUAAGAGAAGUGAAGGAAAAAAUAGGAGUAAGAAAUUCACAAGCACCAUAUUCCUCUACCUAAAUGAGCAAAUAUGUACUGAACAAUUGUUAUCUUAAUGAUUAUUUUUCCUUUCUCAUUAUUUUGUCCAGGAUGAUGCUCAAUUUGAGAAGGUUAUGGCUUUCAGGUAACAAAACUCUUCAUCUUAUGGCCAAUGAUUAUUUUGUGCCCUUUUGAUGAUUGGAAGAGUUAUAUUAGAAAUCUUAUAAGAACAUGAAAUGCUGAUACCAUAACUAUCCACACGAUUUGGCUUAGACACAGAGAAUGUGGAAUUCCUAUUAGCUAAACAUUAACGCUACAGGAUUAAUUAUAAUUAGCUCUAAGUUAAUUAGAACACUUGGUAAAUAAUUUCUUUUUGAAGUUCUUUAUCCCUUAUUCAGUAUGUUUAGUCAUGUAUUUAUAAUUUCCAGUUUGUAAUUGUUCGCUUUUUUGUUGUUUAGCAUCAAAAUAAUGACUAAAGAGUCCAUCACUAAAAUUAAGUCUCUAUAAUUUUUUGUAUGCACAAAGUAAUCACAUUUUUAGCAGCUUUAACCUUUACUUUUAUAUUGCUGCUACAAUGCAUCGGGGAGGAGAAAUGAUUCAUAUCAAAAGUGACUUUCAGUUGUUCCUUUUUAUAUAGUUAUGUCUUUCAUGACAUUUUAGCACCUCUGUUGUUAGAUAUCUCAAAAUCAAAUAUUUAUUUCAUGUCACUUACUGCAGGUGGCUAGCUAAGAAGAUCACCAUAUGGAUCUUAUCAACGUAGAUUAUGCGAGUUCUCAUAGAAUAUUAAUUCUAGAAUAUGAUAUGGUUAUUUCUCUUCGGAUGGAUGUAAUAUAUUGCUCCUUAACAUUUAAAGAAUUUUGUUAUGUAAUUUUGAAAUGCUUAUAUUUUUCAUAUAUGAUGAUUAAUUUGUUUCAAUGAUCUUUUCUUA